rnacentral:tRNA from 1 species
UAUUCGUACAGGGAAUCAAACCCUGAUCAAAGGCUUCGAAGGCCUCCGUUCUUUCAUUAAACUACACGAAU